rnacentral:piRNA from 1 species
AACUGUGUUGGAGAUGCUGUGUG